ensembl:lncRNA
CUCCGGUGUAUUCUAGUCCUCUAGUAUAAUCUGUAGAUUAAGGUGCAUGGUCUCCCAGUAUAAACAGUAUAUUAUAUAUGAAAUCAAUCACAGAAUGAGCCCCCAUAGAGAUGAAUCUAUCCCAUAAUCGUAGCUCAGACAGAAGCAGUGCCAUACAAAGUGUUCUCCAUCUCUGUCCAGGUCUUCAGGGUCAGUAGUGUCGGACGUUCUGGUCGAGGAAUUUCUCGGUAAAGUGUCGCAGACGUCGGUUUGUGCCGUGAGGCUCCUCCUUCUCUGAAGAUGUACAGUAUCAGCGUGACCACGCUCCCCACAACACAACGACACGACACAACACAACGACACCACAAGGACACACCACAAGGACACAACGGACCAGCACUACUCCGGCUCAGCGUCAGGAACCAGAGGCUGAUGGACGACGGGAGCGGGGACCUGGAGGAGCAGCUUUCUAGAGGUUUCUCGUUAGCCUUUAGCUGUGUUAGCUCCCUUCAUGUUAUGAGUGUGUUGUUCUGCGGCUAACUGCUAGCAGGUGUUUCAGCGUGUUCACUGCGGUAUGUCGGUGUGUAAAGUGUCGGUGUGACGGUAUGCUUCGCUAACUAGCUGUACUAGAGCCAGCCUAGCCUGUAGCUACAACCGCCUGUCUGGGUGCUGGAGUCUCGCUAACCGCUAUAGCAGCUACUGCCUGGCUAGUUGCCGUUGCGACUGCCUAGCCAGGUGCUGUAGCCGCUACAGGGUAGCUAGCUCAAGAGUUCUGUAGCUACGCUAGAACGGCCUGCAGCCUACUACUGUAGUAGUCGUAGCGCUGUAGGAUACGCUAGGGGCCAGAACGGCCUACAGCCUGCCUGUUGGAGCUGGCCUCCCGUUCCAUGUGUUAGCCACUAGGGGCAGCAGACUCUAAGCCAAUGUGUGACGUGUCGCUCUACUCUGAUCCGUGGAGGUUUGUUUCUGUACUAAAACCAGCAGAACAUCUCCAUGAGGCUGUAGAGGUGACCAGAGAACCGCUGUAGUAGGUCCGUAGAACUACAAUAGAACAUUUCUACUUGGUCCGUAGAACUACAAUAGAACCGCUGUACAAAUUCUGAACAGUGUUGUGU